AUGGCAGUAUCUGUAGGAGUAAAAACACGGUCUUCAGAAAAGAUCGUGCUACCUGUCGAUGCAGAUAGAACCACGGUUGUACUUGCCCAAGAACCAGCCCCACCACACAUAACCCACACUCAUGCAUAUUGUACCCCUACCCAGUUGGACAGAGAACCAGCUACACCCCUUCUAACCCCAACCCCAGCAGAUAGACAACCAGUUCCCGUUGACACAGCACCGUCUCCACCACAGAGCACCCAAACACGAGCAGUUAGUAAGGCAACUGCAGUUCCCAAAUCACUAGGACCACCACUCCGAACCCGAAGUCAACGCUUAAAGCAGAAGAAGAAUUGUUCUCAGGAUGCAAUUGAAACUCCAAUGGCGCAACAAAACGCGGAUAAAAUAAUGGAGAAGAGUACCAUGUUAUGCAAUGGUAAAGGAAGUAAUGCAGAUAAGGUUCAAGAUAGUGAGACAUCCCUGUUGGUCUCCAAGAAAGCUGAUAAAAACUAUAGUGAAGACACUGAGACAACCCCAAAGUCCUGUCUUGAUGUAGUGUUCGAGUUACUGGCUACCACUGCUGGCACCAGCUCUUCGAACUCAUUGCCUGAAUCAGUUCGGCUUCUUGAGUCUCAACUUCAAGUUGGAAGACAUCGAUAA
rnacentral:rRNA from 1 species